CACGUAGGGGGCAAGCGUUGUCCGGAUUUAUUGGGCGUAAAGAGCUCGUAGGUGGUUCGGUAAGUCGGGUGUUAAACCCCCAGGCUCAACCUGGGGACGCCACUCGAUACUGCUGUGACUAGAGUCCGGUAGGGGAGCGUGGAAUUCCUGGUGUAGCGGUGAAAUACGCAGAUAUCGGGAAGAACACCCGUGGCGAAGGCGGUUCUCUGGGACGGUACUGACACUGAGGCACGAAGGCCAGGGGAGCAAACGGG
rnacentral:rRNA from 1 species